rfam:Triticum aestivum genome assembly, contig: Triticum_aestivum_CS42_TGACv1_scaffold_193875_3AL
AUUCUACUCCCUCUGUUUCGAAUUACUUGUCGCAGGUAUGGAUGUAUCUAGAUGUAUUUUAGUUCUAGAUACAUCCAUUUCUAUGACGAGUAAUUCGAAACGGAGGGAGUAAUGC